UAUACCGCGAAACUGCGAAUGGCUCAUUAUAUAAGUUAUCGUUUAUUUGAUAGUACCUUACUACUUGGAUAACCGUGGUAAUUCUAGAGCUAAUACAUGCUAAAAAUCCCGACUUCGGAAGGGAUGUAUUUAUUAGAUUAAAAACCAAUGCCCUUCGGGGCUCACUGGUGAUUCAUAAUAACUUCUCGAAUCGCAUGGCCUUGCGCCGGCGAUGGUUCAUUCAAAUUUCUUCCCUAUCAACUUUCGAUGCUAGAGUAGUGUUCUAGCAUGGUUACAACGGGUAACGGAGGGUUAGGGCUCGACCCCGGAGAAGGAGCCUGAGAAACGGCUACUACAUCCAAGGAAGGCAGCAGGCGCGCAAAUUACCCAAUCCCGACACGGGGAGGUAGUGACGAUAAAUACUGAUACAGGGCUCUUUUGGGUCUUGUAAUUGGAAUGAGUACAAUUUAAAUCCCUUAACGAGGAACAAUUGGAGGGCAAGUCUGGUGCCAGCAGCCGCGGUAAUUCCAGCUCCAAUAGCGUAUAUUAAAGUUGUUGUGGUUAAAAAGCUCGUAGUAGAACCUUGGGCCUGGCUGGCCGGUCCGCCUCACCGCGUGCACUGGUCCGGCCGGGCCUUUCCCUCUGUGGAACCGCAUGCCCUUCACUGGGUGUGCCGGGGAAACAGGACUUUUACUUUGAAAAAAUUAGAGUGCUCCAGGCAGGCCUAUGCUCGAAUACAUUAGCAUGGAAUAAUAGAAUAGGACGUGUGGUUCUAUUUUGUUGGUUUCUAGGACCGCCGUAAUGAUUAAUAGGGACAGUCGGGGGCAUCAGUAUUCAAUUGUCAGAGGUGAAAUUCUUGGAUUUAUUGAAGACUAACUACUGCGAAAGCAUUUGCCAAGGAUGUUUUCAUUUAUCAGGAACGAAAGUUAGGGGAUCGAAGACGAUCAGAUACCGUCGUAGUCUUAACCAUAAACUAUGCCGACUAGGGAUCGGACGAUGUUAUUUUUUGACUCGUUCGGCACCUUACGAGAAAUCAAAGUG
rnacentral:rRNA from 3 species